rnacentral:lncRNA from 1 species
GUGUGUGAGGUCGACCAGGAGAAAGCUCAGGGAGCUCAAACCCUAACUUCCACAACUUGAUCAAAUUGAAGCCCAAAUCAAGAGCCAAAUCACUGCAUGAACACAAAUUCGUGAUCACCUAAUCAUGGGGAUUACAAGUUUGACGCGUCACAAGCUAGGUGGAAGCUUGGAGUGAAAGCGGGUCAAACAAGUUAAGCAUGGAAGAAAAGCGUAGCUCGGAUGCAAGGUAAGUGAAACUUACAUAAUUGUGUAGAUUACUUGUUCAUUCUAUACGUUAUAGAUGCAAUAAUGCUAAUAUUGAAAAUAUGGAUUUCCGACGUGAUUGAUACGAGUCGGAACAUAUAAAGAUGUUAAAAACCAUGUUUAUGGCAAAAAGGGGAUUCGGUAAUGAAAUCCGGGACGGGAUGGAUGUAUGAAUUAGAAGUCAAAAACCAUGUUUUUGAUUUAAUAGGCAACGUUGGGCAUAUAGGCCGAACGGGUCAAAUGGUGGUGAUAACACUAUUUGACAAUAUCGACUAAUGCGAUUGUCAAGUCUUGUGUUAACAGGAGCGAUUAGCGAUUCAGUUAAUUUCGCCCACACUAAGUGUGAUGAUAAAAGCAAGGUAUAAAUUGGGUCUAUAUGUUGACCCUAGCCAGGUACGCAUGCAUACGAUUAUAGUUAACAUACAAACUUGGUCAAUUAGGUAGUGAAAGCCCCUCGUAGUAAAUGAGGGGCUAAUGUCGACUAAAAUGCCCUUGAAGGGUAAAUUGAGCAAACAACUUAUAAAGGUUGUUUAGGAACUUAUCUUACGAUCUUGUAACCUUUAGACGCGCAUGAAAGUUGUAGACAUAAACUUUCAAGAGUUAAAUGCUUAAAUUGUGUGUUGCCGCAAAAUAACACAUCCGUAGGAUUAAAAUCGGAAUAAAUAGUCCAUUUCGUUAAAUCCACCACAUUCAUAGUUGUGGUGGAAGACUAGCUAAUAACAAAUUGGUGGAACUAUGAGGUACAUGAGAAAUGAGCACCGUUCGUGCUAAAAUGGUCGUAAGUACCCUUAACGGGUCAAAAUAAGAUUUUAAACGAAAACGGGUAAAUAAUUGUGUAGAAACCCGUGUUCAGUACUUAAUAUGAUUGACAAUAUUAGAAAUUAAGGGUUCAUGAUGAAUGGAGGUCAAACAAACAUGUUUGUUUGAUAAUCACAUAGUCGGGUCGAAAAUUGUUGAAAAGAUAAUAAGCCGAAGGCUUAAAAGUCUCAAUUUUAUUUAAUCCGGAUGUCAGAUCUUAACUCCAUAUAAUGGAGAAUUA